rnacentral:rRNA from 1 species
AGAGUUUGAUCCUGGCUCAGAAUCAACGCUGGCGGCGUGCCUAACACAUGCAAGUCGAACGAGAAAGUCCGCAAGGAUGAGUAAAGUGGCGACCGGGUGAGUAACACGUAGCUAACCUGCCCUUGAGUGGGGGAUAACCUGGGGAAACCCGGGCUAAUACCGCAUAACAUCCCGAUGUCGAUGAUAUUGGGAGCAAAGGC